AGAGUUUGAUCAUGGCUCAGAUUGAACGCUGGCGGAAUGCUUUACACAUGCAAGUCGAACGAUGAACCUUAGCUUGCUAAGGGGAUUAGUGGCGAACGGGUGAGUAAUAUAUCGGAACGUGCCUUGUAAUGGGGGAUAACUAGUCGAAAGAUUAGCUAAUACCGCAUACGCCCUGAGGGGGAAAGUAGGGGAUCUUCGGACCUUACGUUAUAAGAGCGGCCGAUAUCUGAUUAGCUAGUUGGUGGGGUAAUGGCCUACCAAGGCUUCGAUCAGUAGCUGGUCUGAGAGGACGACCAGCCACACUGGAACUGAGACACGGUCCAGACUCCUACGGGAGGCAGCAGUGGGGAAUUUUGGACAAUGGGCGCAAGCCUGAUCCAGCCAUUCCGCGUGAGUGAAGAAGGCCUUCGGGUUGUAAAGCUCUUUCGCAAGGGAAGAAAACUUACACAAUAACACUGUGUGAGGCUGACGGUACCUUGAUAAGAAGCACCGGCUAACUACGUGCCAGCAGCCGCGGUAAUACGUAGGGUGCGAGCGUUAAUCGGAAUUACUGGGCGUAAAGCGUGCGCAGGCGGUUUGGCAAGUCAGAUGUGAAAUCCCCGAGCUCAACUUGGGAACUGCGUUUGAAACUGCCAGACUAGAAUAUGUCAGAGGGGGGUAGAAUUCCACGUGUAGCAGUGAAAUGCGUAGAGAUGUGGAGGAAU
rnacentral:rRNA from 1 species